AGUGAACGCUGGCGGUAGGCCUAACACAUGCAAGUCGAACGGCAGCACAGUAAGAGCUUGCUCUUACGGGUGGCGAGUGGCGGACGGGUGAGGAAUACAUCGGAAUCUACUUUUUCGUGGGGGAUAACGUAGGGAAACUUACGCUAAUACCGCAUACGACCUACGGGUGAAAGCAGGGGAUCUUCGGACCUUGCGCGAUUGAAUGAGCCGAUGUCGGAUUAGCUAGUUGGCGGGGUAAAGGCCCACCAAGGCGACGAUCCGUAGCUGGUCUGAGAGGAUGAUCAGCCACACUGGAACUGAGACACGGUCCAGACUCCUACGGGAGGCAGCAGUGGGGAAUAUUGGACAAUGGGCGCAAGCCUGAUCCAGCCAUACCGCGUAGGUGAAGAAGGCCUUCGGGUUGUAAAGCCCUUUUGUUGGGAAAGAAAAGCAGCAGGUUAAUACCCCGCUGUUCUGGCGGUACCCAAAGAAUAAGCACCGGCUAACUUCGUG
rnacentral:rRNA from 1 species